AUGGGAACUCCCAAGGCUAAUCUUAUAAAUCUGAAAAAAUAAUUUUGUUUUUCUAUAUUUGAGACCAUUUCUCUUUAACAUUUUUUUUUUAGUUCGUAAAGUACAAUAAUUAAAAUUCAUUUCAAUCAGGUACAAAGGAGGAGGAGGUUAAUGAGGAGGAGGUUAAUGUAACCUGUCCUCUUUAUGGUGUCCCUUAGGACAUUAUUUGAAAAAAUAGACAUGGAGAAUUUGGUGAAGACUGGAAUGAGAGGGAGGAGGAAGUGUUCUUUAUAUUCUUGGAAGAUUUUCUAGAAAUCGCAACCACCAUUUCACUUCUACCUCUACUUCUAGAACAUCCUCAGGCCACCAUGUUCAGUGGUAUUUACAUCAAAAACCAAGAAAACGUAUUUUGAUAAAGAACCCUGACAGUGGCAGGAAUCUGAUGCUCCCUAUAAUUUCAGCAGGAGAGAAUUUUUAGCUCCACCACCCCAUGACCCAGCAAGCGGUUAGGGUGUGCACUCCCCUCUCUAAAAGACACUGAUAACCGGAAUAAUACUCCCUCCAUAUCAGUGAAAAGGAGAGAGGAGCUAAGAAAAAACUGAAAAACAAAUCAUCUUCUUUUAUCAGAACUAUGUAAGAAUGAGGGAGAAAUAAAUCCAUCUAUCAGACUUUCAAAUGAUGUCUUUGUUAGCAAAGCAAUUCUGUUUUGCUUUGGAUGAAUAGACAGAAAAAAACUGGGCAAAAUAAUAAAGUUGUAGAGACAGUGUUUUGGCUCUAACAGUGAAAAUGUUACCAGUAUCUUCCUUGUUGUUCUGCUGCAUUUGUUGAUAUUUAAGCCCUUCGGAAAUUUUAGUGCUGUUUGUGAAACCCAGAACCCCAGAAUGUUUUCUCGGUGUCCAUAUUUCUUUCUAGGAUUUUGUUCAUUGGUGAACUUUAUGCAUUUUUAAAAGUUUGUAAUUGGCUUUGCCUUUUCUGCUUGUUUUUUGCCAGAUUGUUUUUAUCUGUGAUUUUGACAAUCAACCCAUGUCAGAGUUGAAUAGAAUCCUUCAUCACCAUCACCAUCCUCCUCCCCUUCCUCCUCCUCCUCCUCAUCCCCAUACCCUGAUACUCACGAAAGGAACUUGGAAAGGAUGUACUUCAGAAAGAAGGAAUAUUAUCCCAGAAAAAGUGUGAGAUGCAACAUUAAAUGUGUAAGAAAAUUCACAUGUUAAAAAAGGUUUUGUGGAAGGGGAGACAGUUCCUGUGAUUCAAGAACUUACUGUAUCUAAUGGAAGUGAUACAUCUACCUGAACAGAUAUUCUGGAUGGAGAAAAUUUCUUUGAUUUUGGUUGAAUUGCUAAGAAGUCAUCCAAAAACUUCUUCAAUUCAGGAAAAAAGGUUCUCUAUUCAAGAGAUGUUCUUCUACAUAGAGAAAUAAAUAAAAGGAUGUCUCAAGGUUAAAGCAUUCAUCCUCUUCAGCUGGAGUAUUGAUGAAGUAUUUCCAAAGGAAGUAGCUGUUCUUUUUAGACUUCGAAAGAUGCUUUGGAAAUGACUAGUGGGAGAAGAGAAGAAACAAAUGUGAUGGAGUCGUGUAUAUUGUGCAAGAUUAGAACUGUACUAAAGAUGAACAUGCUUAAUCUGCUGGGAGUAGGGAAAGGGAUGCUAAUAGCAUGCAGUUGAGGACCUUUGACUUCAGGUAUCACAAAUACAAUGGGCCCUUGAACACAGCCAAGACUAGGGGUGCCAAGCAAGUGGAACAUCUGUGUGUACAGCUUCACAGUCAGUCCUCCUUAUCCAAAGUUUCACGUAUGCAGAUUCAACCAACCAUGGACCAUAGUACUGUAGUAUCCAUUCCAGUGGCUGUGUAUUGGUAUCGCAUUGUGGUGACUUCUUUGAUGACUAACAGAGGAAAACCUACCACUUUUUCAUAAUUUAUAUUGUCCAUUUGAAUAUCGUUUUGUGUAUAAUCAAAACUUUUGCACAUUUUUCUGUUAUCUUUUCUUUAUUAUUGAUUCAUAAUGCUCCUUAUAUAUUUUAGAAAUUAUUUUUUAGAUUGAUAUCUAAUCCUAUUGUGAAGUUUGCCUUUUUAUUCUCCUAAUGAUGUUGUUUGAUGGACAUACAUUUUAGUUUUAAUAUAGUCCAAUUUGUCAAUAUUUUAAUAGUGACUUUGUGUCCCAUCUUUGUCUACUUCAAGGUCAGAAAGGUGUCCAGCUUACUUUUACACUAAAUACUUUAGAUAUUUUCUUUUUACUUAUAUAUUUAAAAUCCAUCUUGAAUUGAGUUUUGUGUAUGGUGGGAUAUUUUGUGUCCUGUGUGACGCAGGACUCAGCAAACUCUGUGUGAAAAUCCAGCUGUCCUUUUGAAAAGUAAAAGCAUUAGUGGACUAAGCUGCUGUCUACUUUGCCUGAACUUUGUUCCAAGGGUGUAAUUAGCAUUAGUUAUCUGCCUUCUCUCUCAUCCAUUCUGUGUCUCCCUCCUUUACCAGCACUUCAUUUGUAUAGGUUACCUUCAUCAUUUAGAGUUCUGGGUCUGCUUAUCUUGCUUUGGUCAGGUCACAGGUAACACAAUGGUCCCUUCCUUUCCUACUAUCAAUGGACAUCAGAACAUCAAGAGGAGCCCAGCAUGCCUUAGAGUUCCAGUUAAGGUCCUCCCUACUACUGCUUUUUUUUUUUUUUUGGCAGACUUUCAGCUCUUAUUUGAAAAUUGGAGCUAAUUACUCCCACUAGUUCAGUAGCUCCUUUCUUUGCUUGACAAGCUAACAUGACCAAGUGGUAGUCAUAGCUUUAAGUUAGCAGAGCACUUACUUAUUCAUAAUGGGAUCAUCAGCCACUUUUUCCACCUCCCACCUACUUCCGGUGUUUCAGAACAUCUAUUCUCACAAAGGCUAAAGCUGCAAGAAUAGAAAGCACAAAUUUUCCAACUGAAUUCCUGAGAGUGAUGGUGAAAAAGAAACCUGCAUAUUUUAGAUAUUGGCUAUACAGUACCAUAAAGAGACCAUUGUCAUAACACACAUACCACAUUCUGGAGGGCAGCUCUGUUAACUUGUAGGAUAUUGUCCUUAUACCAUAGCUAAACCUCUAAGAGUCUAUUACAAUGUUCUAUUGGGCUGCUAUGUAAUAGUUAUGAGGUGGGCAGAAUCAGUGGGUCCUCUGAUCAGUACCCAUGAUUGCCCUUCUUUAGCUAUAAAAUGGGAUCCUAAGUAUGAUACAUUCAUAUUAUUUGGGCAUCACAUGGUGAUCCAUCAGACACAUCAGGCCCUCUGGAAAACCCUGGGACAGUGGUACUAGCAGAAAUAAACCCAUAUCUAGGAUCUCUCUCUCUUCAUCCUUUUGGCUCCAUUACUAGUUUCCAUCUCAAGAUAUGGUGUAUCCAAGAAGAGAGGUGGAUGACUUUCACUGAAGGAGACACUUUGUACUUGGUUGCUCAUUGUCUCUUCACCAGUAGGUGGUAACUGGUAGGCACUGAUGUGAGGCAGAAAAAUCUGCACAUUUUUACCCACUCUUAUGUCUUCAUUAACACACAUUUUCCCCAGUUAUUCAUGUCUCUGAUCUUCCAACCUUGUUCUUUUGACCCCUUACCAAUGAAGACCAUCAGUAGGGGGUAAAUUUUUAUGUAAAGAACCAGAUAGUAGAUAGGCUUUGCAGGCUGUAAUGGUUUCUCCUGCAACUACUUAAAUUCUACUACUGUUGCCCAAGAACAGUUAGAGGCAAAUGAGUGUGGCCAUGUUCCAAUAAAACUUUAUGUAUAAAAAUAGAUAUCAGACUGGAUUUGCCUCAUAGGCUAUAGUUUGCAAAUCCCAGAACUCCACCAUUUGGUACUGCCCAAGAAUCCACAUAUGUUCCUACCUCAGGGUCCCUUUCUCUUCAUGUAAAAAAGAGAACCUAGUACACUGCUCAAAACUCUUGUGUACUUGGAGGAUUGCCUCUUGCUAGGGAUAAUCUUUGAGUGGGAAUAUAGCAUGCAUUACAUUUUCGGCUUACACCUACACAUAUGUCUGCCCCAUCUGUGAAUUAUACCCAAAAUUGCAGUGCCACAUCUGUUGGCUGUAGAAAAAUACCCUGAAAGACCAUAUAGAUGAAGCUGAUGGAAAAAGUAUCAAAUGCAAGAUAUUGGUGACUAUGGGGUCUAAGCCACAGAUUUGUAUAAUUUAUUUGAGCCAUUUGGACCAUGUUGGGCCUUAUUAAAAAUAUACCAUUACAAUGAUGUUAGUUGCUACUUUGCUCACCUGGCAUUAUACUUGGGUAGACCUAACAAUAUGAUCUAUUAAGAGGAAGCUCUGGUCAUAUACUCUCUUGAUUCCCAUGGUCUGUUAGUUAGUCUUUAUUUGAUUCUAGUUACACUAUUGGAUUUGAUUUUCACAUGACAAGUAAUUUUCUGCUCUUGCUCCAAAAACCUAGAGUCUUAGCUUUGACUCUUUUGUUGAGACUUCUCGGACAUGUCACCAGUUGUUUUUAUCUACCAUGGAUAUUUUCAGUAGUGUUGAACCUGAAGGUAAUCUUGCCCAUGAAUCAGGGCUACUUGUACCAUAUCCUGGAUUUGCAACAGCAUCCUUUCUUGCUCUGGAUCCCAUUCAAACUUGGCAUUCCUCAGAGUCACCUAAUAAAUAGGACUGGGCAAUGUGUCAAAAUAGUUUGUAUUAUCUCAUGAAUUCAAGGAUGCCAAUUAGAAACUGUUCCUCCUUGCUAGUGGCAGAUAGUACAGUAUGUAAGGUGUAACAUAUUUAAUCUUAGAAAGAAAUUCCUAGAUAUUCCUGACCACUAGACUUCUAAAAGUGGCUCUGGAUUCCUUAUAGGAUUUAUAUCUCACUCCCUGCACCUGAUAUAUCACCAGUAUAUCAGAGUGUUUGCCACUUCUUCAUCACCAGGUGUAACUAGCACAACAUCAUGAAUAUAGAAGAAGAACAUGAUAUUUUAUGAAUUUCAAGACGAAGAUCCCUUCAGACGAUAUUAUAAUAGAAAGCACAGGUUUUCUUUUCUUUUUUUUUUUUUCUUUUUCAUUUUCUUUUUUUGGCUACACCUGUGGCAUAUGGCAGGCAAUUCCUGGGCUAAGGGUCACAUUGGAGCCACAGUAACACCAGAUCCAAGCCACAUCUGUAAAACCAUAUCCUUAAUCCACUGAGAGAGGCCAGGGAUUGAACCCACAUCCUCAUGAACACUAUAUUGGGCUCUUAACCCACUGAGCCGUAACGGGAGCUCCUUUUAUUUUAAUAAUAGAAAUUGAAAAGAACACAAAUGUGAGAUUAACUGUCAUAUGUUGAGUAUAAAAGACUGUUGAUCUAUUAAAGUAAAGAUUAUACAUCAGUAGUGCCAGUAGGGGCUACCUUCAGUCCAAGUUUUCUUUUAACAUUUUUCCCACCCAGUUGUUAUUAUAUAAUGAUGUCAUGUGUUUUUAUAAAAUUAUUUUUUAAUGUAACCACAUUAGUAAACUUUUUUUUUUUUUUAUAAACCUACUGGAGACUUGGAGAACAGAUUUACGGUUGCCAGGGUGAGGGGGAUGGAGUGGGAUGGGCUGGGAAUCUGGGGUUAGUAGAUGCAAACUAUUACAUUUGGAUAAGCAAUGAGAUCCUGCAGUAUAGCACUGGGAACUAUAUCUAGUCACUUAUGAUAGAGCAUGAUGGAGGAUAAUGUGAGAAAAAGAAUGUAUAUAUGUAUGUGUGACUGGGUCACUUUGCUGUACAGCAGAAAAUUAACAGAAUACUACAAACCAGC